ACUGAACUCCGAGCCUUAGCCUCUCGUAUUGUUGUCUCUGCCUUCAGUGUGGGAGCUGUGGGCAGAGACCCUCAAACUCUCAAGGAGCCAGCACAUGGAGCACAUUUGGUCAAAGUGAAGAGGAUCCACCGUUCACAAAUGAUAAUUAUUCCCCAGUAACUGGCAUAUUCUACUUAGACGAAACUUGCAUCCGUUUUCUUAGUUUCCCAGAGGCUACCAUUUAAAGCCAGGCAUUUCACUUGCAGUAAAAUGAGAGCUGUGUUGCAAUUUAUUAAAAGGGAAGACAGACAGCAUCAACCUACUAAAAGGUCAGAGAGAAAAAAGCAGAUGGGUCUCUUCCCCUGAAUCAGGUUAAAAUGGUCCUGCCUGUCAAGAAAGCAUCGCUUUGAAGAAUUCAUUAUUCACCCCAAAAGAGGCAUCUGUAAUCAAUGUUGCUCCUUUCUAUUUCCCACACCACAACCACCACCUCUAAUCAGAUGAGGAAGAAAUUGAGAAGUAAUUGCAAGGUGAUUCCAAACUGCAUUGGAAAUGUAACUUGGGAUACAGGCUACCCAGACUGGAGUCCACUUCCUAAUUGGUAUGUUUGAAGCAAACCUACCUCAUUCAUGGCAUCAUGGGCAAAGGCUUCAGUAAGGACUUAACUGGGAGACCUUUUAAUCUGUUCUGCCUCCAAGAAAAGAAUCUCAAAGAGACCAAGCCCCCCUCAGAGACAUAAUAACGUCAGUCAGUCCCUAACCCAUCUCUGCAGCUCUAGUUAAUGGCUGUGGCUCAAGUUACAAAGUUGCUCAGCUAUGUUUGUUGGACUCAUUUGAUUUCCAAGCUUCUCUCAUUAUUUUCUUUACAAACCCCUUUUGUAUUUUUUCCCUUGUGGGUCUCAUGCUUUGAAGAACUUAGCUUAUUAAACAAAC